AGAACGAACGCUGGCGGCAUGCCUAACACAUGCAAGUCGAACGGGACCUUCGGGUCUAGUGGCGCACGGGUGCGUAACGCGUGGGGAUCUGCCCUUAGGUACGGAAUAACUCAGGGAAACUUGAGCUAAUACCGUAUAAUGACUUCGGUCCAAAGAUUUAUCGCCUAGGGAUGAACCCGCGUAGGAUUAGCUUGUUGGUGAGGUAAAGGCUCACCAAGGCGACGAUCCUUAGCUGGUCUGAGAGGAUGAUCAGCCACACUGGGACUGAGACACGGCCCAGACUCCUACGGGAGGCAGCAGUGGGGAAUAUUGGACAAUGGGCGAAAGCCUGAUCCAGCAAUGCCGCGUGAGUGAUGAAGGCCUUAGGGUUGUAAAGCUCUUUUGCCCGGGAUGAUAAUGACAGUACCGGAGAAUAAGCUCCGGCUAACUCCGUGCCAGCAGCCGC
rnacentral:rRNA from 1 species